AUUGAACGCUGGCGGCAUGCUUUACACAUGCCAGUCGAACGGUAACAGGCCGCAAGGUGCUGACGAGUGGCGCACGGGUGAGUAAUGCAUCGGAACGUGCCCAGUCGUGGGGGAUAACUACUCGAAAGAGUAGCUAAUACCGCAUACGAUCUAUGGAUGAAAGCGGGGGACCGUAAGGCCUCGCGCGAUUGGAGCGGCCGAUGUCAGAUUAGGUAGUUGGUGGGGUAAAGGCUCACCAAGCCAACGAUCUGUAGCUGGUCUGAGAGGACGACCAGCCACACUGGGACUGAGACACGGCCCAGACUCCUACGGGAGGCAGCAGUGGGGAAUUUUGGACAAUGGGCGCAAGCCUGAUCCAGCAAUGCCGCGUGCAGGAAGAAGGCCCUCGGGUUGUAAACUGCUUUUGUACGGAACGAAACGGCUCUGGUUAAUACCCGGGGCUAAUGACGGUACCGUAAGAAUAAGCACCGGCUAACUACGUG
rnacentral:rRNA from 1 species